rnacentral:rRNA from 1 species
GACGAACGCUGGCGGCGUGCUUAACACAUGCAAGUCGAACGGAAAGGCCCUUCGGGGUACUCGAGUGGCGAACGGGUGAGUAACACGUGGGUGAUCUGCCCUGCACUUUGGGAUAAGCCUGGGAAACUGGGUCUAAUACCGGAUAGGACUACGGCCUGCAUGGGUUGUGGUGGAAAGCUUUUGCGGUGUGGGAUGGGCCCGCGGCCUAUCAGCUUGUUGGUGGGGUGAUGGCCUACCAAGGCGACGACGGGUAGCCGGCCUGAGAGGGUGACCGGCCACACUGGGACUGAGAUACGGCCCAGACUCCUACGGGAGGCAGCAGUGGGGGAAUAUUGCACAAUGGGCGCAAGCCUGAUGCAGCGACGCCGCGUGGGGGAUGACGGCC